rnacentral:rRNA from 1 species
AGCAGCCGCGGUAAUUCCAGCUCCAAUAGCGUAUAUUAAAGUUGUUGCAGUUAAAAAGCUCGUAGUUGAAUUUCGGGGUUAGCAGGUCGGUCGUGCCAUCGGUAUGAACUGGUCUCGCUGAUCCCUCCCUCUUGACGAACUGUGAUGCCAUUAAUUUGGUGUCGCAGGGAAUCAGGACUGUUACUUUGAAAAAUUAGAGUGUUUAAAGCAGGCUCACGCUUGAAUACAUUAGCAUGGAAUAAUGAAAUAGGACGUUUGAUCCUAUUUUGUUGGUUUCUAGGAUUGACGUAAUGAUUAAUAGGGAUAGUUGGGGGCAUUAGUAUUCAAUUGUCAGAGGUGAAAUUCUUGGAUUUAUUGAAGACUAACUACUGCGAAAGCAUUUGCCAAGGAUGUUUUCAUUAAUCAAGAACGAAAGUUAGGGGAUCGAAGACGAUCAGAUACCGUCGUAGUCUUAACCAUAAACUAUGCCGACUAGGGAUCGGAUGAUGUUUAAUUUUUAAUGACUCAU